rnacentral:rRNA from 1 species
UACGAAGGGGGCUAGCGUUGUUCGGAUUUACUGGGCGUAAAGCGCACGUAGGCGGAUUGUUAAGUGAGGGGUGAAAUCCCAGGGCUCAACCCUGGAACUGCCUUUCAUACUGGCAAUCUUGAGUCCGGAAGAGGUGAGUGGAACUCCUAGUGUAGAGGUGGAAUUCGUAGAUAUUAGGAAGAACACCAGUGGCGAAGGCGGCUCACUGGUCCGGUACUGACGCUGAGGCGCGAAAGCGUGGGGAGCAAACAGG